AUACGUAGGGGGCGAGCGUUGUCCGGAAUGAUUGGGCGUAAAGGGCGCGUAGGCGGCCCGGUAAGUCUGGAGUGAAAGCCCUGUUUUUAAGAUGGGAAUUGCUUUGGAUACUGUCGGGCUUGAGUGCAGGAGAGGUAAGUGGAAUUCCCAGUGUAGCGGUGAAAUGGGUAGAGAUUGGGAGGAAAACCAGUGGCGAAGGCGACUUACUUGACUGUAACUGACGCUGAGGAGCGAAAGUGGGGGGAGCAAACAGGAGUAGAUACCCUGGUAGUCCACACUGUAAACGAUGAAUGAUAGGUGUAGGGGGUAUCGACCCCUUCUGUGCCGCAGUCAACACAAUAAGCAUUCCGCCUGGGGAGUACGGCCGCAAGGUUGAAACUCAAAUGAAUUGGCGGGG
rnacentral:rRNA from 1 species